rnacentral:misc_RNA from 1 species
GAUGAAGAACGUAGCGAAAUGCGAUAAGUAAUGUGAAUUGCAGAAUUCAGUGAAUCAUCGAAUCUUUGAACGCACAUUGCGCCCGCCAGUAUUCUGGCGGGCAUGCCUGUUCGAGCGUCAUUUCAACCAUCAAGCCCCCGGCUUGUGUUGGGGACCUGCGGCUGCCGCAGGCCCUGAAAACCAGUGGCGGGCUCGCUAGUCACUCCGAGCGUAGUAGUUACAUCUCGCUCAGGGCGUGCUGCGGGUUCCGGCCGUUAAAAGCCUUAUUUACCCAAGGUUGACCUCGGAUCAGGUAGGAAGACCCGCUGAACUUAAGCAUAUCAUAAGCGGAGGA